CACAUGACUCUCAGCAACGGAUAUCUAGGCUCUUGCAUCGAUGAAGAACGUAGCAAAAUGCGAUACCUGAUGUGAAUUGCAGAAUCCCGUGAACCAUCAAGUUUUUGAACGCAAGUUGCGCCUAAGGCCUUUUGGCUGAGGGCACGUCUGCCUGGGCGUCACGU
rnacentral:rRNA from 1 species